UUGACUCAUUUUGGGCCUCUUGUCAGCAUCAGGAUCAAUACACCUAAGUGCAACCAAAAGAGUGCGCUUCAAAGCACGCAGCGGUGGUUUAACUUGAAGGUUUGAGUCCACUACUUCUUCAGCCCUCCUUGUCCCUACCAUCAUUUUGAGCCAUUCAACUAGAUUAACCUGUCACAAAUGAGCAUGAACAAUAUCUAAUCACAAUUAAGAAUCACUUCCAGUUGAAAGCAUGGUUAGAACUAGCAAGCUGGCAGAGGUGACAAGGAUUAGACACCUCAUUGGCAGGACGUGCAUAGUCUACAGGGUCCCUUCCAGUAACUGCUUCCAGCAAGAGGACACCAAAGCU
rnacentral:lncRNA from 1 species